UUGUGGGAGGGUAAAUUCUCCUAAGGCUAAAUAACGGCGAGGAGGACCGAUAGCGAAACAAGUACCGUGAGGGAAAGAUGAAAAGAACUUUGAAAAGAGAGUUAAACAGUACGUGAAAUUGUUGAAAGGGAAACGAUUGAAGCCAGUCAUACCAUCGGGAAAUCAACCUUUUGAGCUGGGUUUCGUGGGUUUUGGAGAAUUUCAACGCCUUCGGAUUCGCCAGAUUGGGAUUUUUGGGUGUACUUGUUCGUAGUGGUAGUCUAACAUCGGUUUUGGUGUCAAAAAUGACUGAAGAUGAACUUUCAUAAA
rnacentral:rRNA from 1 species